rnacentral:pre_miRNA from 1 species
AUGAUACUCCGUUCAUCCGAUAAUACUUGUUAAAGGAAUGGAUGUAUCUAGAUAUAUUUUAAUUCCAGAUACAUUCAUUUGUAUAUAUUUUUGUGAUAAGUAAUUUCAGAUGGAGGGAGUACAUA